AUGCGAUAAGUAAUGUGAAUUGCAGAAUUCAGUGAAUCAUCGAAUCUUUGAACGCACAUUGCGCCCGCUAGUAUUCUGGCGGGCAUGCCUGUCCGAGCGUCAUUUCAACCCUCGGGAGCCCCUUUGCGGGGGCUGCCGGUGUUGGGGAUCGCCCGCCGCCACGGUGGACGUCCCCUAAAACGAUUGGCGGUCUCGCUGUAGCCUCCUCUGCGCAGUAGCACUUGUUCUCGCAGGCGGAGCGCGGCGCGGCCAAGCCGUUAAACCCCCAACUUUUUUACUAGGUUGACCUCGGAUCAGGUAGGAAUACCCGCUGAACUUAA
rnacentral:misc_RNA from 1 species